GAGUUUGAUCAUCCCUCAGAUUGAACGCUGGCGGCAGGCCUAACACAUGCAAGUCGAGCGGUAGAGAGGAGCUUGCUUCUCUUGAGAGCGGCGGACGGGCGAGUAAUGCCUAGGAAUCUGCCUAGUGGUGGGGGAUAACGUUCGGAAACGGACGCUAAUACCGCAUACGUCCUACGGGAGAAAGCGGGGGAUCUUCGGACCUCGCGCCAUUAGAUGAGCCUAGGUCGGAUUAGCUAGUUGGUGAGGUAAUGGCUCACCAAGGCGACGAUCCGUAACUGGUCUGAGAGGAUGAUCAGUCACACUGGAACUGAGACACGGUCCAGACUCCUACGGGAGGCAGCAGUGGGGAAUAUUGGACAAUGGGCGAAAGCCUGAUCCAGCCAUGCCGCGUGUGUGAAGAAGGUCUUCGGAUUGUAAAGCACUUUAAGUUGGGAGGAAGGGUCGUAACCUAAUACGUUACGGCUUUGACGUUACCGACAGAAUAAGCACCGGCUAACUUCGUGCCAGCAGCCGCGGUAAUACGAAGGGUGCAAGCGUUAAUCGGAAUUACUGGGCGUAAAGCGCGCGUAGGUGGUUCAGCAAGUUGGAUGUGAAAGCCCUGGGCUCAACCUGGGAACUGCAUCCAAAACUACUGAGCUAGAGUACGGUAGAGGGUAGUGGAAUUUCCUGUGUAGCGGUGAAAUGCGUAGAUAUAGGAAGGAACACCAGUGGCGAAGGCGACUACCUGGACUGAUACUGACACUGAGGUGCGAAAGCGUGGGGAGCAAACAGGAUUAGAUACCCUGGUAGUCCACGCCGUAAACGAUGUCGACUAGCCGUUGGGAUCCUUGAGAUCUUAGUGGCGCAGCUAACGCAUUAAGUCGAC
rnacentral:rRNA from 1 species